GUGUGUGUCGAGUUUUCAUGUGAUAUAAUAAAAGAUAUUUGACAAUAAUUUCUCCUACUAAUAUUUGAAAUACAUAUUAAGAAGCUAAUAAUUGAGAUGCUCAACGAAAAUACGUAUUAACAUUUCAUGACAUUCAACAACGGUAGAUACUUAACCUGGAAAAAAACAACAAUACGACGUCGUACCACUAGCACACCUGCAUGAGCGGCAACCCACAGAGACAAUCAUUAUUACUAAACGACGACGCUUCAAGAUGAUCAAACGGAAACCCUACCGGAAUCUUCCCACACAGGCGGUUAUUACUCAGAUCCAAAUGCCCAAUAUACUUCGCCGCCGAUAACGACUUCGGAAUCGCACCUUUCAGCCGAUUAUUACUCAAAUCAAGCACCGAAAAAUACGUCAUCGGAGUAAAAACAUCCGUUUUCCGGUGAGCUGGUUGCCGAUAAGGUCAAGAAUGCGGAGGUGAGGUAAGGCGGUGGUACACGCCGGAAUCCCGCCGGAGAUUCCUUUCCAGUCGGCGACGAUGAGUGACGUCAGCCGGUCUAGUUGACAUAACGAAGGGGAGAGUGAACCGGUCAUGUAACCGGACCGGCCGGUUUGGGUAAAUAUCUUAUCUUCAGACUCGCCACGUAGGAUAAUAUCGUUGACCCGGCUAUCAGUCGGGUCGCAGCUUACACCGUACCAGUUAGUGCAACAGUCGGAUCCGGUCCAUGUGUUAAAAAUGCCUAAAUAGGGCUCGGUCAGGGUGGACUUGAAGGAUAAUAAUGCUGCCCGGUCUGAUGGCGGGCAAGAGGUGACCACGGUGGAGGUUGCGGCGGCGAUGAGGACUGCCACCGCCACGUGUACGCCGGUAAAGAGAACAAACAGGCAGUGUCACACACAAGCCAAACAAAGACCCAGCAAUCAAAAUUCAAAGAUUCAGCAAUAAAAGUGUUGAUACGAUAUUCCCUCAAAAACGUCAUUUUAUGAGACUUCAAGUGUACAAGAAGUUUUAUUUUCACCGGAGGAGGAUUUAAAAUCAAUUACUAUUUAUGUAUCAUGGACCAAGCGAUUGCUUCUCUUGAAACAAGAUUCGAACAAUACUAAAUAUUUGGCUUUUUGUUUCCUAAAAAGUUCAGGGAACUUAAUGAAAAAGAUCUCAAGUCUCGUUGUUAUAGUCUUCAAGAUGCAUUGAAGUAUAAAGACAAAUCCGAUGUUGAUGCUGAUGAACUUUAUAUGGAGUUGAAAUUGUUUGAGACAUUUUUACCUAGUCAUAUUGUUUGCCCUUUUGAUGCUUUCAACAGUUUAAAGAAGAUUGUUUUUUUUUUCCUAAUGCAUUAAUUGCAUAUGGAGUGUUGUUAACUAUUCCCGUAACAGUAGCAUAAGCAGAAAGAAGCUUUUCGAAGUUGAAGUUGUUAAAGACUUACUUACGAUCUAGUAUGUCCCAAGAAAGACUCAAUGGAUUAGUGAUGAUAUCUAUUGAAAACGACAUAUUAGAGAAUAUGGAUUAUGAAGAGUUAAUCGAAAGCUUUGCUUCAAAAAACGCUAGGAGAGCCGCACCAUUCGCUUAAGUAGGUAAUCGCAAUAGAGUAUUUUAAGAAGCUUAUUAGAGGAGACGAGGCACCCCGUUAUGAAGGGCUGGCCACGCGUCGACAUCCGUGAGGCGUGAUACACCACCGCCACCAUGUCUUAUAAUGCGUGAAAUGGAUAACGCGUGGCCAUGAUCACGCGUGAAGGAUUGAAGGUGUUGUACAUGUUCGAUGAUGGAGAUGAGUGUGUGGUGAGUGAUGGGCAUUUCCACUAAAAUCCAUCACUAAUGAUGGAAUGAAGCUCGAUGACAUAACGGAAUUGAUUGGAUGUUGUAAGUGAUGGAAUUCCAUCACUAGUGGAGCGCCCCUACCCCCUUAAGGUGUUUAGAAGAGUCUUAUUGGAUGUAGUCAAUUAUACUUCUAAGCUUUAGUGGUUUUGUUGAAACUCAUGUAAGUAAAAUAAACUAAAUUUUUGCUACCAAGUCUGCAUCAAUCGGUCACUUUAGCCUCAUCCUAUGUGGCGUGUGACAAUACACGGGUAAGUUGGAAAUUC
rnacentral:lncRNA from 1 species